AGGACUGUGUUUAUAUAGUGGGGUCAGUGUACAGGACUGUGUUUAUAUAGUGGGGUCAGUGUAUAGGACUGUUUAUAUAGUGGGGGUUAGGACUGACUGUGUUUAUAUGGUGGGGUCAGUGUAUAGGACUGUGUUUAUAUAGUGGGGUCAGUGUAUAGGACUGUGUUUAUAUAGUGGGGUCAGUGGGACUGAUUGUGUUUAUAUAGUGGGGUCAGUGUAUAGGACUGUGUUUAUAUAGUGGGGUCAGUGUAUAGGACUGUGUUUAUAUAGUGGGGUCAGUGUAUAGGACUUUGUUUAUAUAGUGGGGUCAGUGUAUAGGACUGUGU
ensembl:lncRNA